rnacentral:lncRNA from 1 species
UGUCAUCUCCACAGGUCAUCUUCACUCACAGCUGACUGUGUGCUGGGGCUUCUCAGAAUAGGUCUGCACAUUCCCUGUAAGGAAGGAAGCCCUGAGGAGAGACUUCUGGGUGCAUAGCCAACGAUUUAGGCUCUGUUCUGGUAAGGAGAAACCCUGCAAAGCUGAAGAGGACAAAGGAUGGUAGCCAGCAGUCAAAACCAAGUACCGAACACUGCACCUUGUAGCUUUGCUGGACCUGACGUAGCAGGAGGGGGGAAGCACUCUAUGACAGGUCUGUUUGUCACCCAGCACUCCGAUCCUCCUCAUCCUUACUGGCUUAUCAGGGCCUAACAGAUAUUUGGGCACAUAGUUCCCAAGAGGAGACUUGGGUAGAUACUCUUGCUUGAGGAUUCUUACAAGUUUGCUAAUGAGGAAGCUAAACGUUAGUUUCCCAUUAGUAAAGUGAAAGUCAGAGACUCUAUACCGAGGUGUGCUGUAUCAGUUUCCCUGUGCCUAGGAAGUGGGCUCAAUCCCCACCCCCAAAGCUCCGUAGCCUUGCACUGAAGCUUCGACUUCCAUACACAACGGGGUACAUAAGAGACAUAAGAGAAACUGUAGCAGAGACUGAAGGGGUGUUAUGUUUGGUACCGUCCGGUAGGAGGUGGGCUCCGUGCUGCCCUGGCUAUGGGCUUUUCCAUGGGUCUCACUGAUGUUCUCACUGCCCUGUCUUCCCAGAAUCCUUUGUUGGAUGCCUAACCCCUUACCCUGCUGCACUGUCCUCUGCCUUAGACUGUUUCCAUUUUCCUCUUUCCCUUAAAUGUUACUAGUGUAAAGUCAAGAUAUGGCUACUUCCUGACUUCCCUGGGGCUUUGCUUCCCUUCAGAGUCGGCGGCACAGCAGGGCCCCUCAGCCUGGAACUCCAGGAGCCAUUCAGUUACUUACGAGUGGUCAAAGGUGUCCUAAGAUGAUGCGGCUGUUCUCACUUAGGAAACCUUAGCCCAGCUCUUUUUCUGUAGCGAUGCUAUUUUGUAUGGGGGCUCUGAUCUACAAAUGGCAGAGUCUGUCUUCCCAUGACAAUCACAUGUAUUGACAAGAGACAUGGAGAAUGUCAAUGGUGUAAUGAAUGGAGUGUGCUGGAAGAAAGAGGGCUCAGGCAGACCGCCCCCUCUCAGAUGCCAACUCUUCAAGAGCACAUAGCUGUAAGACAGCGUACACAGCAUAUCGGGAUACGUUCAGGUACAGCAACUGAGACUCCUCUGGCCACGACACACAACAACUCUGUGCUUCUGUGGUCUGUGCACUCAGCCCGAGUCCCCAGUGUGUAGCGCAUAUUGCAACUGAAAUGCACAAGUGCUGCAGAGUGAUAUCCGUAGAGCUAGCUAACAGACAUAGGGGCUGAAAUGGGAAUGGAUACAAUCUCAGUCAUAGGAAAUUCCGCUUUCUAAAAAUCAUGCCGUGGAGAUCAUAGCCACUGAAUGACUCCAAGCUGUAAGGAUGCCUAGGAGAAGGUGCCAGCUGUGACUGGGGAAUUAACUCUACU